ensembl:lncRNA
GUGGGUGAAAGUUCUGAGUUCUGAUAUUUGUCACCAAGGUUUUUGCUGUUGUCGGUUAUAAAGCUAUAGGUUUCUGAUUUGUUAGUUUUCGACAGUUGGGUGUUAUGCUCAGAGAACUAUUCGCUUUAAUAACUCGCUCAAACUGUCAAUCCAGUACUCACUUUACUCCACUAUUACAAGCACUGGAGCAAUACAAACACAAAUUGACAGAUCAACUUCUGAAGGUAGAAAUGGUCAGUGCCAGAGGAGGCCAUUUAUGCAGCCUCAGUUUGUACUCCUUGGUUUGCUUAACUGGCUCAUACCAUAGCCGGUAAGAGCAAAAGGGGGUGUCUUUGUACAAGUGAUUGGCACCACACAGGUGGAAGUAUUUAUUUUUUCUCCAACAUAUGAGUAUUGCACCAGCGAAUGUACAUUGUGUAUACUGUCCAGUAGACUAAUUCCAUUAGCCUGUCAUCCGAACUGAGGCCCCUUUGUUCGUACUGUUGACAGUGACACAACGACGUGUGCAGUGAUCAGCCUGGUUCGACCAGGCUAUAAUCUGUUGGUCGUAGUGUUCAUCCUUGUGUACUGCUCAGACUGACAGAAGCCUCAUUUCUUUACUCUGUGUUAUAGUAUUUGCAACAGAAGAUGACAACAGAAUAAAUACAAAAAAGUGAUGUUUUCUGUGUUUAGUAAAUCUAAGUGUGGUUUUGGUGAAAUUGUGAGUCAGACCAAACUGUGUGCCAAGUUAUGUAAAUAAGGCACAUUUCAGUAUGUGUGGCUUAUUGAUGUUCAAUACAACUGUGUCCAGGCGUCCCAUUGCAAUCUUCUCUGGAUUCAGGUUAUGUCUGAAAUGGCACACAAUUUCCUGUAGCAAGUUCACUACUUUAGGCCAAAUCAAAAAUCUGCGUCCAAUGUGGCACAUCCCUUUAAAAUUUGGGGUGCCAUUUCGAAUGCCAACCUGGUCUGAAAUAGUGCACUAUUUGAAUAUAGAGGUACUACUUGGGACACCCCCUUGGGGAAAUGAAAUGCAGUCCAUGCUGUUUUUGGGUCUCCGUGUGUGUUGUUUCACAGCUUUUGAAAGCCAUCUGUCAUUGAGCCCGAUCUACACUGGUGACCUGCUGUAUUUGUUUAAUAUAUCCUGUACUCUAAAAACAUAGGUGUAGUUAAAAAAAUUGAGAUGAAUCAAAUGCUAAUAAAAUGUCCAUGGAUAAAUAAAAGUAUAUACAGACUAUAAAUCCAUGUUAUGAUUGGAUGGAUGAUGUGUUAUACAGCAGUCCAGGAGACCGUGUCUCAAAGAUAACUUAAUGAAUUUUAGAGAAUAAUAACGCAAUGUUUUUUUUGGUGUAUUAUUUUUAUAUUAUUUUGAUCUCUUCCUGAUGGAUAGUAAAACGUU